AUUGAACGCUGGCGGCAGGCCUAACACAUGCAAGUCGAGCGGAUGAAGGGAGCUUGCUCCUGGAUUCAGCGGCGGACGGGUGAGUAAUGCCUAGGAAUCUGCCUGGUAGUGGGGGAUAACGUCCGGGAACGGGCGCUAAUACCGCAUACGUCCUGAGGGAGAAAGUGGGGGAUCUUCGGACCUCACGCUAUCAGAUGAGCCUAGGUCGGAUUAGCUAGUUGGUGGGGUAAAGGCCUACCAAGGCGACGAUCCGUAACUGGUCUGAGAGGAUGAUCAGUCACACUGGAACUGAGACACGGUCCAGACUCCUACGGGAGGCAGCAGUGGGGAAUAUUGGACAAUGGGCGAAAGCCUGAUCCAGACAUGCCGCGUGUGUGAAGAAGGUCUUCGGAUUGUAAAGCACUUUAAGUUGGGAGGAAGGGCAGUAAGUUAAUACCUUGCUGUUUUGACGUUACCAACAGAAUAAGCACCGGCUAACUUCGUG
rnacentral:rRNA from 1 species